CCUUGGGACGCGGCCUCUUUGAUACCAUAGAAAACAUUCUAUAAUCCAAGGAAUUUGAGAAACUAUCUCUUGGAAAGCCAUGUCAGCAGAUCAUAAAUUGAGCCUCACCCAUGGCUCUUCUGAGUCUAGAUACUGAGAAGGUUAGUUUGCCAAGUGGAAACUCUUGUUCUCAACAUGGAAAAGAUGCCCAGGAAGCAUGCCCUUUUACACACAGGAACACAUAAAGAGGAAAGUAAAUUAAUCCCCAUUAAACUGGCAAGGCAACACUGAAGGCAGAAUUCAAAGGCAACUUAUACAUUUUUAUUUGGUAACCCAUGUUAUAAAUCUCAAUGAACAUUACCAUGAAAAGGCCAAUAAUAAACAUGGAUUUUGGAGCAUCAUUAAUAGUAAGAUGAAAGAUGAACUAUUUCUCCCAUCCAUAUAGUCCUGUAAUAUUCACCUUUGGUUUCGAUAACUUAUAAAUACUCUCUAUGUGAAACAAAUACCAGAUAUAACACAUCAUAUGAAACACCUGAGGGAGACAUUUCUCCUCCA
rnacentral:lncRNA from 10 species